rnacentral:sRNA from 1 species
AAAUAAAAAGGCCCGGCCGAACUUUGGAUACCCUCCACCUCAGCUAUAUCAAAAUAUGGUCCUAUUUGAACCAAGUACGGCAUUGAGAUUGAGUGAUAUAUUGGGUUGCCCAAGUAAUUGCGGAUUUUUUUGAAAGAAACAAGCUAAAAGUAACAGAUGAUAACUGACAGAAGGAA